ensembl:lncRNA
GUCAAGUGCACUAAAAAAAGGGAGAGACACACAAAGCUGUUGGGAUGUUAUUUACGUUCCGACCGGAAGUAGUGUUUAUGCUAAUGAGCUGGGGGCUGGGCGUAUUUCUCGGGAUCCGCCCUUCAUUCAGCACAUGGUUUACGCAGCUUUUCCUUCGCGCCACUUUCUCAGUUUUACUACGACCUACAAACUGGUUUGGGUGAAUAUUUCCGGUGCGGUACGGCUCAGUGGCGCGUGCUGUUCGUUCCCGGCGGCGGUGUGUAAAAGUUUGCGGUGCAGUUUGGCACGUUUUGGGGCCGAACGGCGGCACUAAAUGGGGGUCUGAUCCAAGAUUCCUUAAAGUUAUUGGACACCAACGUACCACCAACCCAGUGGUGGAGUGUGUCUGCGUAUUGCCAAAGUGCUUACAGUGCAGGUAGUAAUAAGAAAUAUCUACUGCAGUGGAGGCACUUCUAGCAAUGCGCCGGCCAUGGUGCUCCCUAUGCCCUCGUCUCAGCAAGGGAACAAGUGAGCACACUCUUACGGCUUUGUGCUAAGGUGCAUCUAGUGCAGAUAGUGAAUUAGACUAGCACCUACUGCCCUAAGUGCUCCUUCUGGCAUGAGGGGCUGUGACUAGCAUCUCGGCGCACGCCGCUUCACCCCCCCCCAUCUCUGGUGCAGUUCUCGGCUAGUUUUGCAUAGUUGCACCACAAGAAAACACGAGUUGUGCAAAUCUAUGCAAAACUGACGGCGGCCUGCUUCUUCUCCGUCCCGCUUGCCCUAGACACGGUCCGAGCUCGAUCGGUGCUAAAGUGCUUAUAGUGCAGGUAGUGUGUGAGCGAUCUACUGCAGUGUGAGCACUUCAAGUACUUCUAGCUUCAAAGCGACGUUUCUUGGUGUAGCGCAUCGCUUCCUGAUUCCAGAGAGGACGACGUUAAACAUCAGUCCAAACAGCACACUGGUGUAUUUAAACACAAGCCGUCUGCUUAUCCCUCAUCCCACUAGUUCUUUCUGCCAUCUUUCUCUCAUCUCAUCACCUUCAUAUUGUUUCUUCCUUUUUAUGUUUCCCUUCCUUCCUGUCCCCUCUUUUGUCUUUCAUUCUGUUAGUCCUGCUUUCCUUUCCUGUAUUUCCCAUCUCUGUUCUCUCAAUCUCCUCUAAUCUGUCUUUUUCUCCUAUUGUUUUUCAUCUCCCUUUCUGGUUUUGCUUCCUUCUCCCCACCCCCAUCUUUCCUCCUGUUUCCUUUCCCCUUCCUUACUUUAGCAUUUUUCUCUUUUUAAUCCUUUCCCCUCCACCAUUAUCAUCUUUCCACUUUUCUGUUUUUUCUUCUCUCCUUUCUCCUUCCCUGACUUUCUCUCCUACUCUCACCAUCUCAUUUCUUUUCUUUAUCCUAUCAUUCCCCUGUCUUUGCGCUUUUUUUUGGCAUCUCCAUUCUUUCGAUCUUUAUCUUCUCUUUCUGAUCUUGUUCUUUAUCCUCUUGUCUCUUCCUUUGUUUUGUCCUG